rnacentral:rRNA from 1 species
GAAAUAGCACUUAUAUUUAUGAGGCCGUACCGUAAACCGACACUGGUGGAUGAGUAGAGUAUACUAAGGUGUUGAAAGAAUGAUGUUGAAGGAACUCGGCAAAUUAUACCUGUAACUUCGGAAGAAGGGUAACCUGUUUUUAGGCAACUAUGAGCAGGUGGCACAAAAUAGGGAGUAGCGACUGUUUACUAAAAACACAGGACUCUGCAAACACGUAAGUGGAAGUAUAGGGUCUGACGCCUGCCCGGUGCUGGAAGGUUAAUAGGAAGGGUGCAAGCUCCGAAUUGAAGCCCCAGUAAACGGCGGCCGUAACACUGACGGUCCUAAGGUAGCGAAAUUCCUUGUCGGGUAAGUUCCGACCCGCACGAAUGGCGUAACGAUUUCUCCACUGUCUCCAACAUCACUUCAGCGAAAUUGAAUUCCCCGUGCAGAUGCGGGGUACCCGCGGUUAGACGAAGAGACCCCGUGCACCUUUACUAUAGCUUUACAUUGCUGUUAAAAGUGUGAUGUGCAGAAUAGGUGGGAGGCUUUGAAGUUAUGGCGCUAGCUAUAAUGGAGCCAUCAUUGAGAUACCACCCUUUACACUUUUGAUAUCUAACUAUGUUUCAUUAUCUGGAACUAGGACAUUGUAUGGUGGGUAGUUUGACUGGGGCGGUCGCCUCCUAAAGAGUAACGGAGGCGUGCGAAGGUAAGCUAGAGCUGGUCGGAAAUCAGCUUAAUAGUAUAAUGGCAUAAGCUUGCCUGACUGCGAGGCCGACAAGCCAAGCAGAGACGAAAGUCGGUCAUAGUGAUCCGGUAAUUCUGUAUGGAAGGGUCAUCGCUCAACGGAUAAAAGGUACGCCGGGGAUAACAGGCUGAUGGUGUUCGAGAGUUCAUAUCGACGACACCGUUUGGCACCUCGAUGUCGACUCAUCACAUCCUGGGGCUGAAGAAGGUCCCAAGGGUUCGGCUGUUCGCCGAUUAAAGUGAUACGUGAGUUGGGUUUAGAACGUCGUGAGACAGUUCGGUUUCUAUCUUCCGCGGGUGAAGGAAAUUUGAGAAGGUCUGACUCUAGUACGAGAGGACCGAGAUGGAUAUACCUCUGGUGUACCAGCUGUUAUGCCAAUAGCAUCGCUGGGUAGCUAUGUAUAGAUGGGAUAAUUGCUGAAAGCAUAUAAGCAAGAAACCCUCUUCAAAAAGAUUUCCCAAUUAAGGCCGUGGAAGACUACCACGUUGAUAGGCUAGGUGUGGAAGCAUGGUAACAUGUGAAGCUAACUAGUACUAAUAGCCUGAUUGA